rnacentral:SRP_RNA from 1 species
UAACUGUCUUUGCGUGGUGUCCAUGCUUGGAAUCCUCCAGGGCGGAAACGCAGCAAAGGUACAAGCCUCUGGGCAGGUGCGCAAAGACAUACUUCG